CUCUCUAAGCCUAGCUCUCUCUCUACUUUGUAAUAUACUGUGAAGAUAAAUAAAAGGCAGAUAGCCACCGUUAAAUACUGUUCAGGCUUUGCAUCCCGCUAACUUUAAGGUAUAUGAAGGAGCAAAAAGUGAUUCAGUAAUUGAAGAUGUUAGAUAAAAGAAACAUCGACACAUGAGGAGACAAAGUAUUUUUAUCUUUUUAAGUUUACCAUUGUUCUUGUGCCUUAAUUAAUCUUUUUUAUGUUUGAGUAAUUUUACUUUAUUUACUCAAUGAGUUUGAACUCAAAUGUUAUCUCCGCAUAAUUGUAACUGUAAUAAGUAUAUGAUUUUGUAAGGACCAUCGUAUUAAGUUUUUCUUU